rnacentral:rRNA from 1 species
UACAGAGGUCCCAAGCGUUGUUCGGAUUCACUGGGCGUAAAGGGUGCGUAGGUGGUGAGGUAAGUCGGAUGUGAAAUCUCCGAGCUCAACUCGGAAAUGGCAUUGGAAACUACCUUGCUCGAGGGUUGGAGGGGGGACUGGAAUGCUUGGUGUAGCAGUGAAAUGCGUAGAUAUCAGGAGGAACACCUGUGGCGAAAGCGGCUCACUGGACCAUAACUGACGCUGAUGCACGAAAGCUAGGGGAGCAAACAGG